rnacentral:rRNA from 1 species
GACGAACGCUGGCGGCGUGCUUAACACAUGUAAGUCGAACGGAAAGGCCCUGCUUUUGUGGGGUGCUCGAGUGGCGAACGGGUGAGUAACACGUGAGUAACCUGCCCUUGACUUUGGGAUAACUUCAGGAAACUGGGGCUAAUACCGGAUAGGAGCUCCUGCUGCAUGGUGGGGGUUGGAAAGUUUCGGCGGUUGGGGAUGGACUCGCGGCUUAUCAGCUUGUUGAUGGGGUAGUGGCUUACCAAGGCUUUGACGGGUAGCCGGCCUGAGAGGGUGACCGGCCACAUUGGGACUGAGAUACGGCCCAGACUCCUACGGGAGGCAGCAGUGGGGAAUAUUGCACAAUGGGCGGAAGCCUGAUGCAGCAACGCCGCGUGCGGGAUGACGGCCUUCGGGUUGUAAACCGCUUUCGCCUGUGACGAAGCGUGAGUGACGGUAAUGGGUAAAGAAGCACCGGCUAACUACGUG